GGAUAGAUAGUUCAGUGGCAGAGUGUGUGCUUAGCAUGUAUGAGGUCCUGGGUUCGAUCCCCAGUACUCCA
rnacentral:tRNA from 1 species